AAUCGAAACUGGUUCACCCAGGUCGAGGCUCAGCCAUUGCACUCCGGCUGUGCUGACCCCUGCGAGUUCCCCAAAUGUGGGAAUCUCGACUGCAGAAUUUCUGGUAGUGGGGGACUGCGUUCGUGCUCUCCCCUG
ensembl:snRNA U1 U1 spliceosomal RNA